GUAGAGUUGAAAGAUUGUUGUUGAUGGAUAUAUUGUAUAGUGGUGAAAGUUAGCCUACUUAUAGAGUAGAGUUGAAAGAUUGUUGUUGAUGGAUAUAUUGAGUAGUGGUGAAAGUUAGCCUACUUAUAGAGUAGAGUUGAAAGAUUGUUGUUGAUGGAUAUAUUGAGUAGUGGUGAAAGUUAGCCUACUUAUAGAGUAGAGUUGAAAGAUUGUUGUUGAUGGAUAUAUUGUAUAGUGGUGAAAGUUAGCCUACUUAUAGAGUAGAGUUGAAAGAUUGUUGUUGAUGGAUAUAUUGUAUAGUGGUGAAAGUUAGCCUACUUAUAGAGUAGAGUUGAAAGAUUGUUGUUGAUGGAUAUAUUGAGUAGUGGUGAAAGUUAGCCUACUUAUAGAGUAGAGUUGAAAGAUUGUUGUUGAUGGAUAUAUUGAGUAGUGGUGAAAGUUAGCCUACUUAUAGAGUAGAG